rfam:Anopheles stephensi strain SDA-500 unplaced genomic scaffold supercont1.90, whole genome shotgun sequence.
AGCAAAAACCGCACUGAUACGAGUAUGGUCCGACGCCUCUUGAAGGAUAAUAUAGGAUCUCCAUACCCUACUCCGACUCAGUACGUCCACAGCGUACAGAAUGGUAACAUAUUUCUCCAAUUAUCUGAGCUUGGGUACACAGGAAAACCCAACCCCUUGGGAGUAUGGGUCAUAUGGCUAAAUUGAAUGGC